GGGUUGUGAGGUUAAGCGACUAAGCGUACACGGUGGAUGCCCUGGCAGUCAGAGGCGAUGAAGGACGUGCUAAUCUGCGAUAAGCGUCGGUAAGGUGAUAUGAACCGUUAUAACCGGCGAUUUCCGAAUGGGGAAACCCAGUGUGUUUCGACACACUAUCAUUAACUGAAUCCAUAGGUUAAUGAGGCGAACCGGGGGAACUGAAACAUCUAAGUACCCCGAGGAAAAGAAAUCAACCGAGAUUCCCCCAGUAGCGGCGAGCGAACGGGGAGCAGCCCAGAGCCUGAAUCAGUGUGUGUGUUAGUGGAAGCGUCUGGAAAGGCGCGCGAUACAGGGUGACAGCCCCGUACACAAAAAUGCACAUGCUGUGAGCUCGAUGAGUAGGGCGGGACACGUGGUAUCCUGUCUGAAUAUGGGGGGACCAUCCUCCAAGGCUAAAUACUCCUGACUGACCGAUAGUGAACCAGUACCGUGAGGGAAAGGCGAAAAGAACCCCGGCGAGGGGAGUGAAAAAGAACCUGAAACCGUGUACGUACAAGCAGUGGGAGCACGCUUAGGCGUGUGACUGCGUACCUUUUGUAUAAUGGGUCAGCGACUUAUAUUCUGUAGCAAGGUUAACCGAAUAGGGGAGCCGAAGGGAAACCGAGUCUUAACUGGGCGUUAAGUUGCAGGGUAUAGACCCGAAACCCGGUGAUCUAGCCAUGGGCAGGUUGAAGGUUGGGUAACACUAACUGGAGGACCGAACCGACUAAUGUUGAAAAAUUAGCGGAUGACUUGUGGCUGGGGGUGAAAGGCCAAUCAAACCGGGAGAUAGCUGGUUCUCCCCGAAAGCUAUUUAGGUAGCGCCUCGUGAAUUCAUCUCCGGGGGUAGAGCACUGUUUCGGCAAGGGGGUCAUCCCGACUUACCAACCCGAUGCAAACUGCGAAUACCGGAGAAUGUUAUCACGGGAGACACACGGCGGGUGCUAACGUCCGUCGUGAAGAGGGAAACAACCCAGACCGCCAGCUAAGGUCCCAAAGUCAUGGUUAAGUGGGAAACGAUGUGGGAAGGCCCAGACAGCCAGGAUGUUGGCUUAGAAGCAGCCAUCAUUUAAAGAAAGCGUAAUAGCUCACUGGUCGAGUCGGCCUGCGCGGAAGAUGUAACGGGGCUAAACCAUGCACCGAAGCUGCGGCAGCGACGCUKAUGCGUUGUUGGGUAGGGGAGCGUUCUGUAAGCCUGYGAAGGUGUGCUGUGAGGCAUGCUGGAGGUAUCAGAAGUGCGAAUGCUGACAUAAGUAACGAUAAAGCGGGUGAAAAGCCCGCUCGCCGGAAGACCAAGGGUUCCUGUCCAACGUUAAUCGGGGCAGGGUGAGUCGACCCCUAAGGCGAGGCCGAAAGGCGUAGUCGAUGGGAAACAGGUUAAUAUUCCUGUACUUGGUGUUACUGCGAAGGGGGGACGGAGAAGGCUAUGUUGGCCGGGCGACGGUUGUCCCGGUUUAAGCGUGUAGGCUGGUUUUCCAGGCAAAUCCGGAAAAUCAAGGCUGAGGCGUGAUGACGAGGCACUACGGUGCUGAAGCAACAAAUGCCCUGCUUCCAGGAAAAGCCUCUAAGCAUCAGGUAACAUCAAAUCGUACCCCAAACCGACACAGGUGGUCAGGUAGAGAAUACCAAGGCGCUUGAGAGAACUCGGGUGAAGGAACUAGGCAAAAUGGUGCCGUAACUUCGGGAGAAGGCACGCUGAUAUGUAGGUGARGUCCCUCGCGGAUGGAGCUGAAAUCAGUCGAAGAUACCAGCUGGCUGCAACUGUUUAUUAAAAACACAGCACUGUGCAAACACGAAAGUGGACGUAUACGGUGUGACGCCUGCCCGGUGCCGGAAGGUUAAUUGAUGGGGUUAGCCGCAAGGCGAAGCUCUUGAUCGAAGCCCCGGUAAACGGCGGCCGUAACUAUAACGGUCCUAAGGUAGCGAAAUUCCUUGUCGGGUAAGUUCCGACCUGCACGAAUGGCGUAAUGAUGGCCAGGCUGUCUCCACCCGAGACUCAGUGAAAUUGAACUCGCUGUGAAGAUGCAGUGUACCCGCGGCAAGACGGAAAGACCCCGUGAACCUUUACUAUAGCUUGACACUGAACAUUGAGCCUUGAUGUGUAGGAUAGGUGGGAGGCUUAGAAGUGUGGACGCCAGUCUGCAUGGAGCCGACCUUGAAAUACCACCCUUUAAUGUUUGAUGUUCUAACGUUGACCCGUAAUCCGGGUUGCGGACAGUGUCUGGUGGGUAGUUUGACUGGGGCGGUCUCCUCCUAAAGAGUAACGGAGGAGCACGAAGGUUGGCUAAUCCUGGUCGGACAUCAGGAGGUUAGUGCAAUGGCAUAAGCCAGCUUGACUGCGAGCGUGACGGCGCGAGCAGGUGCGAAAGCAGGUCAUAGUGAUCCGGUGGUUCUGAAUGGAAGGGCCAUCGCUCAACGGAUAAAAGGUACUCCGGGGAUAACAGGCUGAUACCGCCCAAGAGUUCAUAUCGACGGCGGUGUUUGGCACCUCGAUGUCGGCUCAUCACAUCCUGGGGCUGAAGUAGGUCCCAAGGGUAUGGCUGUUCGCCAUUUAAAGUGGUACGCGAGCUGGGUUUAGAACGUCGUGAGACAGUUCGGUCCCUAUCUGCCGUGGGCGCUGGAGAACUGAGGGGGGCUGCUCCUAGUACGAGAGGACCGGAGUGGACGCAUCACUGGUGUUCGGGUUGUCAUGCCAAUGGCACUGCCCGGUAGCUAAAUGCGGAAGAGAUAAGUGCUGAAAGCAUCUAAGCACGAAACUUGCCCCGAGAUGAGUUCUCCCUGACYCCUURAGAGUCCUGAAGGAACGUUGAAGACGACGACGUUGAUAGGCCGGGUGUGUAAGCGCAGCGAUGCGUUGAGCUAACCGGUACUAAUGAACCGUGAGGCUUAACCUUACAACGCCGAAG
rnacentral:rRNA from 1 species